rnacentral:lncRNA from 1 species
AUACUUGUUAGUUCUGUAGGAAAAUCUCCAAUCAAAUCAUACUGGCAUUUCUCGGUUACAAAUACUACAUGGUAAAACAAAGGUUAUGUCAAUACAUGGCUAUAUCAUUGCUUUUCACUUGAAACCUUCGUAUUAAUAUUUCAGUUUGUAGAGAAUCCAAUGCAAUGGACCUGUUGAGGCAUGCUUGUCUAUGAAACAUGACAUUUUUGAGGCUAAUAAUCUGUCGCGUUCAUGCCAAAAAGUUAUGUCUAGACUUACUCUCACUCAUGUCACAAAGAUAGAAUAUAAAAAUAUUAAUUGCUUACCAUUGUUGUGUCAUGGAACCAGGAUGGCGAGCAUGAUGAUGUCGGUCAGUUACAAAUUCAACAAAAAAUCAUCGUCACCACAAGACCUUGUUAUUGAUUAUGUACAAAAGG